AGUGAACGCUGGCGGUAGGCCUAACACAUGCAAGUCGAACGGCAGCACAGGAGAGCUUGCUCUCUGGGUGGCGAGUGGCGGACGGGUGAGGAAUACAUCGGAAUCUACUUUUUCGUGGGGGAUAACGUAGGGAAACUUACGCUAAUACCGCAUACGACCUACGGGUGAAAGCAGGGGACCUUCGGGCCUUGCGCGAUUGAAUGAGCCGAUGUCGGAUUAGCUAGUUGGCGGGGUAAAGGCCCACCAAUGCGACGAUCCGUAGCUGGUCUGAGAGGAUGAUCAGCCACAAUGGAGCUGAGACACGGUCCAGACUCCUACGGGAGGCAGCAGUGGGGAAUAUUGGACAAUGGGCGCAAGCCUGAUCCAGCCAUACCGCGUGGGUGAAGAAGGCCUUCGGGUUGUAAAGCCCUUUUGUUGGGAAAGAAAUCCAGCUGGCUAAUACCCGGUUGGGAUGACGGUACCCAAAGAAUAAGCACCGGCUAACUUCGUGCCAGCCGCCGCGGUAA
rnacentral:rRNA from 1 species